rnacentral:lncRNA from 1 species
GGAUCGCGCCUGUGAAUAGCCACUGCACUCCAGCCUGAGCAACAUAGCGAGACCCCGUCUCUUUUGCCCCCCUCCCUCAUUAAGGGUACCUUUCGCGAAAGCUCACCAGUUGACGGGAUGCUUGGGGAUUUGCAACCGCCUCAUCGCUGCCCCCUACCGGCGCAUAUUCAAAACGUCUCUGCGAAAAGCUGUUAUUACCUUCGGAGCCAACAGGGGCUGCUCGUUUACCCACAGACAGUCGGAAAAAAAUGGCCGCCGGAUCACAGAGAGCAAAAAGCAGGGCUAAUCUUCCGAAGAGGAAUCCCACUACUGCCUCCUUAUAAGGGAAAAACUCCUCUCAGAGGAACCCAGAACGCCCUGUGAUGACAGAGGUGAGGGGCCAGCGUGGCAGAAUGCACCACCCUGUCUCCUCGCUUGCUUCUCUCUCCGUCGGAUUGCCAAAAAGGGAACGGCACCUAGACGCCGAAAAGUAACUGAAGCAAAGGGAGUUUAAAGAACGCGCCCAGCCGCCUGGGUCUUGAACCCAGUGUUAAUGAGAGCAAAAACCUCUGCAUCCUCCACUGAGCUGUCCUUGAGCAUGUCUCAUAAUCAUGCUUCAUUUUAAAAACAGAAAUAAGUGAGUAAGCUAUGAAAGAAGACAACCUUUAAAUUUUUCAAAAGUUCUUGGUGGUCUGUGAUUAGAAAUUUCAUCUAUAUGAAAUAACUGUUUUGGAGGGCUUACUGUUAAAUUCAGGCAUUUUAGGGCCAGUGGAAACUGGUUAAGCAUUCACAUCAGUCUUAACAUUAAUCUGAUAAUCUACUGGGAGUUUAAAGACUCUAAGCACUAAACACAGAUUUUCCUCACUGUCUAUAAAAUGAAAGAGGAAAGAAGCAUUGUACUAAAUUUUUUAUAAAGCUAAUUGUAUUCCCUUUUUUUUUUUUGAGGUAGUUCAUUGCAUUUUGAACAAGGAUAACUGUCAGAAAAGAUCCUCUUUGAAUAAAACAGGUAUCUCCCCCAUGGCUGCUUCUGGGUCUGCCCUCUGCAACCACAUGGAAUAGGUCUGAUUCCGGUUCUUCAGGACAACUUUUCAAGAAUUAAAAAAUCACCUCCAAAUGAAUGCAUUUUUACAAAAUGAAAAUAGGUAGAGAUGCUAUUUUAAAAAAAAAAAAACUUUACCUUCUCACCAACCUUAAAAUAAGAAGCAAAAUAAUUUUGGUAUAUCUUUUUUUUUUUUUUUUUGAGACAGAGUCUUGCUCUGUCUCCCAGGCUGGAGUUCCGGGGAGCGAUCUCUGCUCACUGCAACCUCUGCCUCCCGGGUUCAAGCGCUUCACCUGCCUCAAGCCUCCCGAGUAGCUGGGAUUACAGGCACACACCAGCAUGCCCGGCUAAUUUUUGUAUCUCUUGUUUUUCACUAAAUGGAUCCCUGAAUUGGACCCAGAAUGACUUAGCUAUGGAUGUAAGAACUGCUUUUGAGUAGCUGCCUCCAUUAGCCCUGGGGUUCCUACUUCCUGAGUACCAUGACCUCUGGGAUAACUCAGCUUUGUGGAACUGAGGUGCAAUAGGCAGCAUAAUGACCCCCUCCCCAAAGAUAUCUAUGUGCUAACUAACCAAGGAAUGUGGACAGCCCCCUGAAGCUGGAAAAGGCAAGGAAAGGGAUUCUCUUCAAGAGUUUCCAGAAGGAAUGCAGCCCUCUUCACCAAUUUGGUACUUCUGAUCUCCAGAACUCUUAAAUAAUAAAUUUGGCCGCAUGUAGUGGCUCACACCUGUAAUUCCCAGCACUUUGAGAGGCCAAGGAAGGUGGAUUGCUUGAGCUCAGGAUUUGGAGACCAGCCUGCACAAAAUGGUGAAACCCUGUCUCUACAAAAAA